rnacentral:tRNA from 1 species
GCAGGGGUGCCGGAGCCUGGUCAAACGGGCCAGACUCAAGAUCUGGUGCCAUCGUGGCUGCGUGGGUUCAAAUCCCACCCCCUGCA